UCUGGAUCUCUCCGCGAUGUUUCGGUUUUCAACUGCACAAGACAUCUUUCGAGCCAGUGCUGUUAGACACAAUGAAGCAAUGUGUUCAUUGGCAAUUUUUCCAUCUCAAGAAGUCACAAAAGAGGGAGAAGCACAGAAACUCAAAGCCUUCCUGUCAGGAUGUUCAGAGAAAAAGAUCAAUGCUCAAGUGUCGUCCAAAAUAUAAAAUGGAUGUUCAACUGAUAAUGGCUACCAAGGUUAAACUACUAAAAUCAUAAAGACUGAUAUCUGAAACCA